CAUAGAGUAGACGAUUACCGCGGAGAAUCGCCACUCAGACGUGACUCGACUGGGCCGGUUGUAGUGCGCGCGUUGUACACGAGUUCGUUAAUUCGACAGAAAGUGUGCGUUUUUAUUUGUUUUUAAAUUGUUAAUUAAAAUAUUCACAAUUUUUUCGCUGUGUUGUUUUAUUAUCGUUGUAUUUGACUAAACGGGCUGUUGAUUUUAUUGUUCGUUUUAUAAUAAUUAUUAUUCGGGUGAUAAUACAUAGUUUUGAAGUUGCAUGUUAAAUUAUUAACGCUCAUUUAGGAUUAAAAUAUUUCAAUAACAUCAAUGGAUUACUAAAGAGCAGUAUUGAAAUUUCGCUCAAGAUUGCGUAAAUGGACGCCCGAAAUGUGCCGUAGCUAUAAUGAUAUACCACCAGAAAUAUGACCAAUGAUCCUCACUUCUUAAAGGCCCUCAAAAAACACCCAGACAGGAGGACCUUACAGGAUCUGCAAAUUAUUUACUAUGGCUUACAAAGUUUGGAAGCGCUGUAUACUUAUAGGGAUUCUGCCUUGCGCACCAUGUGUAAAUCUGUUAGAUAUGAACGUCAUGAUGCCAAUGACGUCCUAUACUU